AUGGCAGAGGAGAAACCGUAAUUAUAUAGGUGGUUCGCCCAGGGUGAGGCUCAUUCGUUGUACUUUGGAUGUGCUGACCCAUAUGAUUCCCUCCAAAGCGGGAAACUAGACUGCAUGAUUUAUGGUAGUGAGGAACUGCAUUCGUACCUUUCCCUG